rnacentral:rRNA from 1 species
AACGAACGCUGGCGGCAGGCCUAACACAUGCAAGUCGAGCGAAGCCUUCGGGCUUAGCGGCGGACGGGUGAGUAACGCGUGGGAACGUGCCCUUUGCUACGGAAUAGCCCCGGGAAACUGGGAGUAAUACCGUAUAAGCUCUACGGAGGAAAGAUUUAUCGGCAAAGGAUCGGCCCGCGUUGGAUUAGGUAGUUGGUGGGGUAAUGGCCUACCAAGCCGACGAUCCAUAGCUGGUUUGAGAGGAUGAUCAGCCACACUGGGACUGAGACACGGCCCAGACUCCUACGGGAGGCAGCAGUGGGGAAUCUUAGACAAUGGGCGCAAGCCUGAUCUAGCCAUGCCGCGUGAUCGAUGAAGGCCUUAGGGUUGUAAAGAUCUUUCAGGUGGGAAGAUAAUGACUGUACCACCAGAAGAAGCCCCGGCUAACUCCGUG